rnacentral:rRNA from 1 species
UCAAAGAUUAAGCCAUGCAUGUGUCAGUACAAGCUAAAAUAAAGUGAAACCGCGAAUGGCUCAUUAAAUCAGCUAUGAUUCAUUGGAUCUGUACACCCAGUUUUCCUUGGAUAACUGUGGUAAUUCUAGAGCUAAUACAUGCACAUAUAGUCCCUAACCUCACGGGAAGGGCGCUUUUAUUAGAAUCAAAACCGGUCGGGCUUCGGUCUGUAAAACCAGUUGUGAUGACUCUGGAUAAUUUAUGCUGAGCGCACGGUCUUUGCACCAGCGCCGCUUCUUUCAAGUGUCUGCCUUAUCAGCUUUCGAUUGUAGGCUAUGCGCCUACAAUGGCUAUAACGGGUAACGGGGAAUCAGGGUUCGAUUCCGGAGAGGGAGCCUGAGAAACGGCUACCACAUCCAAGGAAGGCAGCAGGCACGCAAAUUACCCACUCCCAGCACGGGGAGGUAGUGACGAAAAAUAACGAUGCGAGACUCAUCCGAGGCCUCGCAAUCGGAAUGAGUACACUUUAAAUCCUUUAACGAGGAUCAAUUGGAGGGCAAGUCUGGUGCCAGCAGCCGCGGUAAUUCCAGCUCCAAUAGCAUAUAUUAAAGUUGUUGCGGUU